UGUCUGUUGUUAAGAUAAUAGGUGAAUUCUGCCCACUGCUGAGUGGUAAAGGGCUGCAGUAUUAUGACUGUAUAAAGGUAGCAUAAUCAUUAGGUUUUUAAUUGGAAGCUGGUAUGAACGGGUAAACAGGGAGAUAGUAUAUUUUAUGGAGGCGAUGAAAUUAAUAAUCAUGUGAAAAAGCAUGAGUUUUACUAUUAGACAAGAAGACCCUAAAAAUUUUAUUUUAUAUUUUAAGGGGUUGCAGUGGGGACUAUAUUAGUAUAUCUAACGAUGUGACGUUUGACUGGGGCGGUGUGUUUGGUAACAAAAUUAAGAUUUUAAUUUAUAUUUGGCGUGAAUUUGACCUGGGGGUCAGUUGAAUGGAAAAUUACUUUAGGGAUAACAGCGUAAUCAUCUUUGAGAGUUCCUAUUGACAAGAUGGUUUGCGACCUCGAUGUUGGAUUAGGAUGAGAGUUGGUGCAGA
rnacentral:rRNA from 1 species